AAAAAAAGUUUGGUAUCAUUUCAUUCUACACCUCCACACCACUUCAUAGUUCUCUCACCAGCCAGACAAACCCAGCGGCAGAACCAAAAACAAUCAACAAAUCAUCAAUGGUCAAACCAUAAACAAAUGAAUCCAUGCAUUUUCAAAAAAAAAAACCAAGCAAAAUCUAAAAAAUAUCGACAAAUUUCUACAAAACAAAUCCCUAAACUAUCAAAUCCCCAAAGAGUUGAGAAAAACAAAUCCCUAACAAAAUUUAGCAAAUUUCAACAACAAAUAUCCCUAGAGAAGACCAGAUCGAUGGUGAUUUGUUUGGGUUAGUGUUGAUGGACAACUUCUUCAAAUAAACAUGGUGAUUUGUUUGAUGGUGAACAAAAACUUAGGCGUCGCUAGAUCGCUUCUUCAUGCACCUGGAGCUUUGAUGCAAGGGUAGCACGAGAAUGAUCAAUAAACAGCAAGUGCAAAUAAUCGGGGAGAAGGGACAGUAAAGAAGUACAAGGGAAAGGGCAGUAGAAAUAAACAAAAGUAAUAUGAGGAAUAAGAAGAAGGGACGGUAGGUGAAGGAGCAGGCUGGCUGACGUGAUGGAUUGGGUUAGCAAAAAGAAACCAAAGAAGAAGGGGAAGGAGUAGGGGAGAGAAAGGUAGUGGGCUACGGGUAGCAUAAGCAUGAGGCAUUAGCACUUUGG
rnacentral:misc_RNA from 1 species